UACGAACCGUACAAACGUUAUUCGGAAUCACUGGGCUUAAAGGGUGCGUAGGCGGCCAUGUAAGUGAGGUGUGAAAUCCCUCGGCUCAACCGAGGAACUGCGCUUCAUACUGCAUGGCUUGAGGGAGACAGGGGUCAGCGGAACUGAUGGUGGAGCGGUGAAAUGCGUUGAUAUCAGGAGGAACACCUGUGGUGUAGACGGCUCUCUGGACCGUAACUGACGCUGAGACACGAAAGCGUGGGUAGCAAACAGG
rnacentral:rRNA from 1 species